rnacentral:rRNA from 1 species
UACGUAGGUGGCAAGCGUUGUCCGGAUUUACUGGGCGUAAAGAGCGCGCAGGCGGUCGGAUAAGUCGAAUGUGAAAGCCCCUCGGCUCAACUGGGGAGGGUCAUUCGAUACUGUUCGACUCGAAGGCAGGAGAGGGAAGUGGAAUUCCCGGUGUAGUGGUGAAAUGCGUAGAUAUCGGGAGGAACACCAGUGGCGAAGGCGGACUUCCUGGCCUGUUCUUGACGCUGAGGCGCGAAAGCUAGGGGAGCAAACGGG